CGGUAAUUCCAGCUCCAAUAGCGUAUACUAACGUUGUUACAGUUAAAAAGCUCGUAGUUGGAUUUCUGAUCUUUGCCAAUGGUUGUGUCGCCGCGUGCGAGGCGCCUUGCGCAGAGGUCAACAUAUGUCACGAGCCAGUGUGAUCUAUUCAUUUAGGUCCACUGGGUAAUGACUCGUUUACUUUGAGAAAAUUAGAGUGUUCAAAGCAGGCAUUUGCCUUGAAUAUGUUAGCAUGGAAUAAUAGCAUAGGACUUCGGUUCUAUUUGUUGGUUGUUCGAGAACUGGAGUAAUGAUUGAUAGGGACGGUUGGGGGCAUCCGUAUUCUCAAGCGAGAGGUGAAAUUCUUGGACCUUGGGAAGACGAACAGCUGCGAAAGCGUUUGCCUAGGACGUUCUCUUUAAUCAAGAACGAAAGUUGGGGGAUCGAAGACGAUCAGAUACCGUCGUAGUCUCAACUAUAAACUAUGCCAGCUAGGGAUCGGUGGGUCUUUGUCACGAGUCCAUCGGCACCUUACGAGAAAUCAAAGCAUUUGGGUUCCGGGGGGAGUAUGGUCGCAAGGCUGAAACUUAAAGGAAUUGACGGAAGGGCACCACCAGGAGUGGAGCCUGUGGCUUAAUUUGACUCAACACGGGAAAACUUACCAGGUCCGGACAUAGUAAGGAUUGACAGAUUGAAAGCUCUUUCUUGAUUCUAUGGGUGGUGGUGCAUGGCCGUUCUUAGUUGGUGGAGUGAUUUGUCUGGUUAAUUCCGUUAACGAACGAGACCCGCGCCUGCUAAAUAGUCGGCCUCACUUCUGUGGGUGUUGUACUUCUUAGAGGGACCAUCCUGGGUAUACCGGAAGGAAGUUGCGGGCAAUAACAGGUCUGUGAUGCCCUUAGAUGUUCUGGGCUGCACACGGGCUACACUGCAAGAUACAACAAGCGUCGAUCACGCCUGACUGGAAGGUCCGGCCAAUCUUUGAAUAUCUUGCGUGAUUGGGAUAGACCAUUGCAAUUAUUGGUCUUCAACGAGGAAUUCCUAGUAAACGCGUGUCAACAACACGCAUUGAUUACGUCCCUGCCCUUUGUACACACCGCCCGUCGCUCCUACCGAUUGGAUGUUUCGAUGAGCCGUUUGGAGGACUAAGCUGAAAGCGUCAGCCGGAAGCUACGUCCGAAAUUCUGCAAAUCUGAAUAUCUAGAGGAAGGAGAAGUCGUAACAAGGUAGCCG
rnacentral:rRNA from 1 species